UUCUUUUGAUUUUUUAAUCUAAAACUCAAAACGAGUUGAGAGGGAAUUUUUUUUCAUUUCUCCUCCCAAUGCAUCUCUCUCUCUUUUCCGGCCGUUUUAACCGGCGACGUCUUCACCGGACGGCUGUCCGUCAUUCUUCCCCUCCCAAUGCGUUUCUCUCUCUCUCCUCCUGCUGGUGGUCGCCCUUCACCAGCGCCGUCUCCACCGUCCGUCCUCUCUCUUCUCUCUCGUCCGUCCUUCUCUGACAGCGAGUUCUUGUCUCCGGCAGGGUGUCCUUCUCCGGCAGCGUGACCGUGUCUCGUGUCUCCAGCGUUAUUCAACUGCCUGCAAACUAGUGAUCCUAGAAGUGGCUUUGCCAUUGCGGAGAAGGGAUAACCUUGAGCAACAAAUUGUGGCAGGAAUUGGGUAUAUGCAGGAAUUGGAAUAUAGGAAAAGAGAUUUUGGUUUGAAGGUUUGUUGGCGAGUUCCUCUUGAGCAGCUGCAGACCUGUUGCAAAAGUGGUGAAGUAUGUGUGUUCUGGUGUUUGGGGUAGCUGUUGGUCUCAGCUUAAGACUGAUGUUUUUCUGCAAUUCUACUGUUCAUGGGUCAAUUUGUUGUUGAGGUCGCUAUUGUUUUGCCUUUUGGUGGCUUGUUGGGGCCUCGUGUAGGCGUUGUAUAUUUUUUUUUUUGAUAGCUGCUGGUUUUAGAUGUUUUGUGCGUAUUUGUAACUUUAAGAAUUUUGAAUUUUACAUUUUAGGGGUGUUCAAACGGGACGGUUAUAACCGCUUUAA